rnacentral:rRNA from 1 species
CCUUGGGGUGCGCAGGCGCGAAAACUUUGCAAUACACGAAAGUGUGACAGGGCUAUCCCGAGUGCCAUCCGCUGAGGAAGGCUUUUACCCAGUCUAGAAAGCUGGGGGAAUAAGGAGAGGGCAAGUCUGGUGUCAGCCGCCGCGGUAAUACCAGCUCUCCGAGUGGUGUGGAUGUUUAUUGGGCCUAAAGCAUCCGUAGCUGGCUAAGUUAGUCCCUUGUUAAAUCCACCGAAUUAAUCGUUGGAUUGCGGGGGAUACUGCUUGGCUAGGGGACGAGAGAGGCAGACGGUAUUUUCGGGGUAGGGGUGAAAUCCUAUAAUCCCGGGAAGACCACCAGUGGCGAAGGCUGUCUGCUAGAACGCGCCCGACGGUGAGGGAUGAAAGCUGGGGGAGCGAACCGGAUUAGAUACCCGGGUAGUCCCAGCUGUAAACGAUGCAGGCUAGGUGUUUGGACGGCCACGUGCCGUUCUAGUGCCGCAGGGAAGCUGUUAAGCCUGCCGCCUGGGGAGUACGAUCGCAAGAUUGAAACUUAAAGGAAUUGGCGGGGGAGCAC